UGCCCUUAUUUUAAGUUAAGAAAUAAUGAUUAACUUAUGAAGAAAUUAUCUGGGGACAAGAAUGGGAUUCCUUCCCUUGUUCGUUGUUGUUUUGUUUUCCGGUCCUCUGAUCCCAUCUUCCUGCCCCACGACGUGAGCAGCUACUCCUAAUUUUCCUCUUCUUCAUUUAAUGAUAUAACUUUCAACUCUGUGAAUAACUUAUAGUUGAUAGUGAUGACUCCUGAUUCCCAAAAUACCAUCUGAUAACCAAGAAUGGAGAUGGAAGGUCGGACAGAGGAGUGCACAGGACCACUGCUGUGACUCCCGCGCAUCCUUAGGAAGGAAAGGCUCCGCAUGGGGGAUGGUGGUGUCUGUGUCGUUUCUUCUGGACACCAGUUGGAGAGCUUAUUCCGGAAUGUGCUUUCCUCCCUCUUUCCUACCCUCAAGCUCAAUAAAUAUGGUUGUACUUUUCUUAUUAUAAAAUAAAUGUCUGUAACUGCUGUACACUGCUGUAACCUUGUUAGAGAAA
rnacentral:lncRNA from 1 species